GACGAAGGGGGCUAGCGUUGUUCGGAAUUACUGGGCGUAAAGCGCACGUAGGCGGGGAUUCAAGUCGGAGGUGAAAGCCCAGAGCUCAACUCUGGAAUUGCCUUCGAUACUGUUUCUCUAGAGUGCAGGAGAGGUGAGUGGAAUUCCCAGUGUAGAGGUGAAAUUCGUAGAUAUUGGGAAGAACACCAGUGGCGAAGGCGGCUCACUGGCCUGUAACUGACGCUGAGGUGCGAAAGCGUGGGGAGCAAACAGG
rnacentral:rRNA from 1 species